GACGAACGCUGGCGGCGUGCUUAACACAUGCAAGUCGAACGGUGAAGCGCCUUCCUUUUUGGUGGGUGUGGAUGAGUGGCGAACGGGUGAGUAACACGUGAGUAACCUGCCCCCUUCUUCUGGAUAACCGCAUGAAAGUGUGGCUAAUACGGGAUAUUCUGGGUCUGUCGCAUGAUGGGUCUGGGAAAGAUAUUGUUUCGGUGGGGGAUGGGCUCGCGGCCUAUCAGCUUGUUGGUGGGGUGAUGGCCUACCAAGGCGGUGACGGGUAGCCGGCCUGAGAGGGUGGACGGUCACACUGGGAUUGAGACACGGCCCAGACUCCUACGGGAGGCAGCAGUGGGGAAUAUUGCACAAUGGGCGCAAGCCUGAUGCAGCGACGCCGCGUGAGGGAUGGAGGCCUUCGGGUUGUGAACCUCUUUCGCCAGUGAAGCAGGCCUGCCUCGUUUGUGGGUGGGUUGACGGUAGCUGGAUAAGAAGCGCCGGCUAACUACGUG
rnacentral:rRNA from 1 species